AUCUUAACAAUGCCGAAUCCGAAAGGUACGGGGGAACCAACAUUGGGGUGAAGCAUGGAACCAUGCGGGGUCAGCCUUUGGCCCUAACCCGACAGCUAACCUCGAAGGCAGAGAAAGGCGGAUUC
rnacentral:sRNA from 1 species